GGACCCGCACAAGUAGUGGAGCAUGUGGUUUAAUUCGAAGAUACGCGCAGAACCUUACCAACACUUGACAUGUUCGUCGCGACUUUAAGAGAUUAAAGUUUUCGGUUCGGCCGGACGAAACACAGGUGCUGCAUGGCUGUCGUCAGCUCGUGUCGUGAGAUGUUGGUUAAGUCCCGCAACGAGCGCAACCCUCACUUUUAGUUGCCAUCAUUAAGUUGGGCACUCUGAAAGAACUGCCAGUGAUAAGCUGGAGGAAGGUGGGGAUGACGUCAAGUCCUCAUGGCCCUUACGUGUUGGGCUACACACGUGCUACAAUGAAAAUGACAAAAAGUAACAAAAAAUUUUAGUU
rnacentral:rRNA from 1 species